GCUCUGUCCAAUAUUUACCCAACAUGGGUCAAUAAUAACCCAGCAAUUUUUAAAGGCUCCAGGAAUGGUUUUAAUAAAAUCUGCAUUUAUGCUAUAGGAAAUAAAAUGAAAAGGACACAGUACCUAAAUCAGCAAUUAUAUGUUAUAUGAUGUGUAAAUAUGUUGAGAUGGCAGAAUGAUAAAUGACAGAAAAACAUUUAAAUGUAGUAAAUGAGUUUCAAAUAUUACAAUUAGCAGUAUAAUGCACCCAGUCUACCAAAAUUGAAAACAUUAUCAAUGGUUAAUUUGCUGCCAUUAUAAGCAUAAGGAUGAAACAGCAGUAUGUCUGAGCAAAUGUAAUACAGUUUAAGGUUACUCAUAUGUUGUUACUCAACAUUUAUGACACUUACAUUAGGGGCCAUGUGUUUGCAGCAACUAUGGUGAUGGUGGCAUGCACCUGAGAGCCCAAAUGUUAACUGUUUAUUUAUGAGAAGGCAAAUUUGUGACUAUUAAUGACAGUUUGUCUGCAUCCCUUUAAUUGUAAUAUUAAAUAUGAACAUAUUAAAAAAAAGCAUUCAUAAUAUAAAUAUAAGUUUUAUCAUCUUAAUUGUAUAGUUAACUUUAAGCAUGCUCUUUUGAUGUGGAACCAUGCAGAACAGGUAAGGAUAACAAAGACUGACAUAUAGGAUUAAGGAGACCAAUGCACAGCCUCAAGUUGUUUGUUUGUGAGACCACAAUUUACACAACUUUUAAGUACUUCAUCUAAUACAUAUUAGAUGUUUAAGGCUAUUUUAGUGGAUGCAUGUAGUUCCCCUCAAGUUCCCACAUUUGCCUACACUAUAUAUACAAUAAAAUUCAAUAAGUUUUUUUUUACUUUAACUUAACAAAUUAAUUAAGUGAAGUAAUUUUAACUUGUUUAUAAGUUAUGUCAAGUAUUUUUUAAGUCAACAACUUUUGUUUUGUUCAAAGCCUGUGCUAUAUCGUUUUUUUUAAUAAAUAUUUAUUUGCUUGCUAUGUUGUUGUAAUUAAUGUUUUGUCUUUUUAUGCAUAACGACUAAGCUUACGUCUGUGUUCUAGCGAGUGCAGAAUUUAUGAAUACAGUUAAACGUCCCGUUAAAACUCAUACUGUUGCGCACCGAGGCUUUCACUCCAUAGCAAGUGAGUCUGACUCUGCCAGAACACUGCAGGUCAAUGCAGACUAACUGUUUUGAAUGACCGUAUCACAUUUGCCACAACAGUAGCCUAUAGCUACUGUGACACGUGCUGAUCAUGACGCACAGGCUAAGAUCAUACAGCUGAAUACGCAAUAUGUGCGCUUGUGAAUGUUGUGAAUCAGUGAAAUUCUUUAAUGUUAAAUGUAUGAGAUUUAGUUGAUUAUAAUAUUACGCUUGUUCUUAAUGUAUUAGUUUACUGUUACAUGUAAAAUAAACUUUUCUUAUAACUUUUCCUAUAACCAAUUUUGUGCGUAAAUCCAGACACUAAAUUAUGCAACAGUUUAUGCUACAAUAUGGCGUUUUAGCCUAAAUAUGCACUGUUAAUAUUUUAAUUAUGUUCAUAACCCAUAUGCAGUGUCUAAAGCUGCAUACAUUCUGUAGAUAAAUAAAUAAAUAAAUAAAUGGACUUGAUAUAAUAGUAGACUCAAAAUGCGCCUUCUGAAUUUCGAUUUAAUGGAAAAAUAAACUUUGGGGUACAAUAAGUAACUAAUUUAAUACUAUAGUGCAAAUCCUUAAGAAAUAGAAAUGUUCCCGCAUAAUAAAGGCACAAAAUACGCACUUUUGCAGUUUCAGUUUUGAAGGACUUUGUUCGCACCAUUCAGGUCAACAAAAUUACCAAUUUAUUAAUUUGUCGGAUACCCACGAGUAGUCCAGUAACUUGCUCUCUUUGUUGUUAUUUAGUUAUAUGUAGAGGGCGGGACUCGAACUGAAAUGAACAAGGCGCGGCCAAGAACCCCCUUCACACGUGUAGACAAAGGGACCCAUCAACACAACCCAAAUAUGCACUCUAAAAGUUUUUCCGUGGACGCGACUUUACAACAAGACCUCGCAAAAUACUCAGGCCAAACGCAUAUUCAGCUUUGGGAAUGUGGAUAAAGGAUUUCGUCUGUUGUCCUGGGACAGCCUUUUAAGGAUACUUGAACACACUUAUCGUUAUUUCUCAGUAGUGGAAUAUAACUUUUUGUCUGGGAUUACUGGAAUAUGAGAAAAAAGAUCCUUACGAAAAGAAUCUACAAAUUUAAGGGCAGCGGUGACAUUUGGUGCAGUGAAGGGGCUUCUCAUGAAGUUAUUCUUUGGGCCGUAAUCUCCCCGGGUGUCCGUUUUCAGCAGCGCGGCAUAUGCCAGACAAAGCCUCUCUUUCAGACACGCAGGUCUGACCCCGGGACCGAUCGCAGAUCUGCUCUGGGCUCUUAUUCUCCUCCUCUUCCUCACACUGCUGCAAACAGUGGAGAUACUGUGUGGAAAUUACAGCACAAAGAUGACAUUACACCGCUAUCAAACUCUACAGGCCCUCUGAUGAACUAACACACAAGUGUGAAGGGAUGAACGGGGACGUGAACGUUCUGCUGCCACAUUUAAGUGCCUGAUUGGACGGCCUGCUGCAGUGUUAAGAAAAGAAACAGGAUGAUUUGCUUGACUCUCCCUCCCGCUCCUUCUGUGCCUCUCAUCCUCUUGCUAAUUUUGUGCCGUCUGACCUCUGAACAUCUGAACAUAAAUGCUGCCGCAUGGUGGCAGGGUCACAGGUCAUCAUUGAUUGGCCACUCAGCAGGAAGCCACUUUGACAUUUGAAGGCUGAAACUGCUUUUUGGCGCCUGGCUCAGUAAGAACAUUCAUCACUGGUGGGCAGGACACAGCGAGACACAGUAAACGGCCAAAGUUCACGGCAAAAGGAAUGCUGAACUCCUCGAGAGAAGCCAAAGAAACCCAGCAUCAGCAAAGAGGAGCCGAAGGAGUCUCAUCUCCUCUCUGCUCCUGUCCAACCCUCGAGGCUCAUAAACAAUAGGCCUCUCCACACAGGAAGUCUUCGCACCAGCCAGGGCCGAAUCCAAGCAACUCUAUUAUCAUUCCAGUUGCCACAGGGCGUUGAGCCAUGGCGAACUCCGACCCCUGGCCUUAUUUUCAAAGGUGAUCUUUGAUCCCUAUUGUGGCUCAGCGAUCCGCUCUGAAUCAAGACGUGCAGAGAGGGGAGCAGGUGAAUCGCUCUAUCUCUGCUGUUGUUUUUGAUGUUGAACAUGGUCUGAGGCGAUUUCUCAGCGUGUGCAGAGAGCAAGCAAAAUGCAGGGAUGGAAGUCAAGAUGUUUGGCUUAAGUUUGCGAUUUAGUUGUUGUUCGUUGCGUCUUGAUGUUCAAAUUGUUUAUUCAAAUUGUUUAUUCAAAAUCUACUUUGUUUUUGUCUUGUAUCGAUUAAAUUGUCAACGAUAAGGUUCAACAUGACUAUCUUUCGAAAUUUGUGUUUUACAAACAGCCCUUAGUCUAAACCUGACAGAUCUCAUGAGAAUUCAUCCGAGUUAGCUAAUUCGUUUAAAGUUAAUUGUACAAAAACAUACGAUUAUCAUAAAAACUCCAAAAACGAAAACCCACUCCUAACCCCAAUGUCACAGGGGCAAAGGCAAAUCAUACGAAGGGAUGGAAGUCAAGAUAUUUGGCUUAAGAUGUUGAAAAAAAGUCCACAGUUUGCUAUUUAGUUGUUGUUUGUUGCAUCUUGUUUAUUCAAAUAAUUUGUUCAAAGUCUACUUUGUUUUUGUCUUGAAUGGAUUAAAAUGUCGAUGAUAAGCUUCAGCAUCUAAAACAUGACUAUCUUUUUUAAAGUUUUGUUUAACAAACAGCCCUUAGUCUUAACCAGCCUGAUCUCGUGAGAAUUUGUCAGUAUUUUACGAGUUGGCUAAUUCAGUCAAAGUAAAUCGUACAAAAUCAUACGAUUAUCAUAAAAAAAAUAAAAAAAACGAAACCCCAUGAACCCCAACGUCACAGGGGCAAAGGCAAAUCAAGACGUUUGGCGUUUAGUUGUUGUUUGUUGCGUCUUGAUGUAAGAAUUGUUUAUUUAAACGGUUUGUUUAAAGUCUACUUUGUUUUUGUCUUGUAUCAAUUAAGAUGUCAACGAUAAGGUUCGGAAUUUAAAACAUGACUAUCUUUCGAAACUUUUGUUUUACAAACAGGACUUCUCAUGAAGAUUCGUAUGUAUUUUACGAGUUGGCUAAUUUGUAUGAUUUCGUACAAAGUGAAUCGUUCAAAAACAUUUAAUUAUCAUAAAAAAACAAUAACAAAAUCCCACCCUUAACCCCAACGUGCAACAUGAUCUCACGGAAAUUUGUGUUUAUUCGUGUUCAUGGCACGUAAUUCAGCUAUUUUCAUGCCUUUAGCACGAAUGUCUAUUUCAUGUCAUUUUAGCACAAAUUUAUAAAAUAUUUUUUUAAUGGCCGUGGCAGAACUUUCCUUUUCGUGUCAUUUUAUGUAGUUUUAAAAUGUUUUAGAAAAAAAAUGAGUUUGGGUUUAGGGGUGUCACGAUUCUCCAAAUCCUCGAUUUGAUUACAUUUUCGAUUCUAAAGUCGAGAUUCGAUUCAAUUCUCGAUUUAAUUUUUUUUUUUGAAAGGUUAGGGUUGGGUUAGGUUAGGGUUGCAUCUAGCAUGCUAUCUAUUUACUGGCUGUAGCUAGCUAAGUUAGAGGAGGUUGACUCGCAGCACUCAACACGUGUUUUUUUUCCGCUUGGCAAGCUGACCGGACGUAACAUGGGGGUGUGGCAGCAUCGACGAUUUCAUUUUUUAAUUGGGAGUUCGAGGUUGUGACUUAAUUUCGAUCGAUUUCGAUUUAAAAUCGAAAUUGUGACACCCUUAGUUAGGAUGUCUAAAAAUGUAACAGAAAGUGAUUCUAACCCCAGGGACAAUGGUAAGAAAAUAGGAAAAAACAAUAAGAAAUCAAUACAUUAAAUGACACGAAAAAGACAUUCGUGCCAUCGACAUGAAUAAAUUAUUACAUUUUUACUUGACUAUAUCGUGCCCUGCUGUGUGAUCAGUCUGGUAACGUCACAGAAGCAAUGGCCAAUCAUACAAAAAUGUACGAAUGUGGUCGUAUGAAUUCAUGCGAAUUAGCCACCUCGUAAAAUAUGUACGAACUGCCAUGAUAUAGCAUUGUCUAAACAUAAACAUGAUCUGUUUGGGCUGAAGUACCUCGCAUCCUCCAAUUAACAAUAAAAUAAACAGUACUUCAACUUGUUCAUUUAAUUCUCUACAUUACCGUUUUUGCUGCCUCACAUCUUUGAGUUUUUUCCUCUCACUCUGUCUGUGUAUAACUGUGUAUAAAAUCAAUUUGGGCUUGGGGCUGAUCUGCCUCACAAACUCCUUUGAUUUGGUUCCCACCACCGCCUAGCAGAGGACUACAGGCAGCCUUAAGUUCUUUAAGGGAUUUGUACUCCCCCUAGCUUUAGCUCACCGACACCAACACCGGCUCUAUCUGCCGCCCUCCGUGGGGCUCCUGAACAAUGCUAAAAGAAUUAGUAACUUCAGUUAGAUUCUGUUGGAAUACCGUCAAAGAAAAAUAAGCUUUCGGUGCAGACCUACCUGCAGGGCAAAUGGCCUUCAAAGGCCGUGAUCAAAAACUGUUUAUUGUAAAAUGAUGCAUAAACAUAAGGAACAUUCGGGAAUGUUUACUGCUUUCAGCUAAGCACUUAACUUUCCAUUCAAAGACAACCUUGUAAACUUGAAUCGAGGUUCAUUUAAAGGGAUAGUUCACCUUAAAAUGAAAAUUCUGUCAUCAUUUACUCAAUGUUGUUACAAACCUGUAUACGAGGGGUGUAACGAUUAACCGUGCAAAUGCGCGUUUUCUCAAUGAAUGAAUUUUAAGGAAUUAGGGUGAAAUCCCGGCACAUCCCAAAGCCAGGGGGCGCUCUUGUGCAGAAAAUUCCUUUGUGCCACAGAAGAAGUAGUAUUACGAAUGCUAUUCCAGGAAAUGUCUACAGGAAUAUGUAUAUCUCUGUUCUUCAAAUUGUUUCAGGUAUUUUCAUGAUAAUAAAGAAUGUUUUGAAUGAUUUUGUUUAACGAGUGUUGCUUUUUUAAAUGCACGUUAUAAACGACUCCGACUCAUAAUGAUUUUAGAUUGAUAAGGACUUCCUACUGACCAAAUGGCGUAGUAUACGCACAAGCUGUGCAUGAAACAAAAAAAUCGCAGCCUUGCGAUUCAGUAUCGAUUUCAGACAGGCAUUUUUAAUGGGAAACACGAUUAAUCGUUACAUCCCUACUGUAUACAUUUUUUUUUCUGAUGAACACGAAGGGAGAUAUUUUGAAUCCAAUCAUGGGCCCCAUUCACUUCCAUAUUACUUUUCCUUUCCUAAGUUACACACAUUCCUCAAAAUAUCUCCCUUCGUGUUCAUCAGAAAAAAAUCAUUUAUACUGUUUUGUAACAACAUGAGAGUGAAAAAAUAAAAAAGCCUAAAUUAAUGUCAACUCAGACUUUGAAACCAUUAAACUACUGUAGAUCUUUGACCUUAUUUUUGUUUUUGUUGAAAAGGUUUUUAUGUGUUUAUGUUAAAUUGUUGUUGAGUGAGUUACAGUCUUUCAGUUCCCCUUAAAGAAACAGACACACACUUUCACUCCAUCUGUUAUUUUUUAUUUUGGGGAAAGACAGAAGAGAGAGAAUGAUUGAUUCGCUUUCGCCAGACCCAGCUCAUCUUGUGUUAAACAGCGCCCCCUUUGAACAGUCACGGGCACUGCAGGUUAGAUUCAUACUCGUGCUUGCAAGCAUGCAUGUCUGGAGUUCAUUUAGGUGGAACAGGGUUAGUUAGCUCGCCUGGGCUUCAAAGCAACAUUUCCCCGUGAUUGAGGUCGACUGUAAUGAUGUUUUAUGAACAUGCUAGAGGGAAACUCCAGAGAAGAAAUGUUUUAGCACCUCUCGCUUUGAACCUUCGACUGUUUCUGCUCGUUCGCUCGACCCGUUUUAUCGCCUCGUAAAAAUGCAAGCGUGUUAGCGAAGUUAAGAUUUCCCCUUUUAAAUUAAAGUCAAAGUUAAAUUCACAUUUACCUGUUUAAUUGCUGCUACUUGGGUGUCAUUAACACCGAACAAAUGCAUUCUGGGGUCAUUCGGCAAAACGGUGCUAUUUGUGUCUCUCAUGAACACGACUUUAAGUAAAGAUAGCUGUUGCCAAAUGUAAAUGCAUCAAGAAAAUAAAUGAACUUGUGCAUCAACCCUGUUAUACUUUCCUGUUUCAAUAAAUAGCCUGUUGCAUGAAUAAAACAAACUGUUGUAAUGGCUCCAUUACCUUUUUAAGAAGC